GAUGAACGCUGGCGGCGUGCCUAAUACAUGCAAGUCGAGCGAACAGAUAAGGAGCUUGCUCCUUUGAAGUUAGCGGCGGACGGGUGAGUAACACGUGGGUAACCUACCUAUAAGACUGGGCUAACUUCGGGAAACCGGAGCUAAUACCGGAUAACAUUUAACACCGCAUGGUUCUAAAGUGAAAGAUGGUUGUGCUACAACUUAUAGAUGGACCCGCGCUGUAUUAGCUAGUUGGUAAGGUAACGGCUUACCAAGGCGACGAUACGUAGCCGACCUGAGAGGGUGAUCGGCCACACUGGAACUGAGACACGGUCCAGACUCCUACGGGAGGCAGCAGUAGGGAAUCUUCCGCAAUGGGCGAAAGCCUGACGGAGCAACGCCGCGUGAGUGAUGAAGGGUUUCGGCUCGUAAAACUCUGUUAUUAGGGAAGAACAAAUGUGUAAGUAACUGUGCACAUCUUGACGGUACCUAAUCAGAAAGCCACGGCUAACUACGUGCCAGCCGCCGCGGUAA
rnacentral:rRNA from 1 species